AUGAGACUUUGGGUCUAUGUAGUUCUCAUUGUGGCAGCUCUGCAAGGUGCCUGGUCCCAGAUCAACCUGGUGGAGUCUGGAGGGGGUGUGAAAAAGCCCGGAGACUCUCUCCGCCUCUCCUGCAAAGCCUCCGGGUUCACCUUCAGCGACUACGGGAUGAACUGGGUCCGCUGGGCUUCAGGAAAGGGACUAGAAUGGGUCGCUUAUAUAAGCAGGAGUGGGAGUGAUAUAUACUACCUUGAUUCAGUGAAAGGCCGGUUCACCAUCUCCAGGGAUAAUUCCAAGAGUGAGCUGUAUCUGCAAAUGACCGGCCUGAAACCCGAGGACACCGCCCGCUAUUACUGUGCGAGAGACACAGUGACACAGAAACCUAUUGAUGCUCCUGCAAAAACCCAGGCUGCAGAAUCCGCACACACCACGUGGGGGCAGCAGCGACAUAAACAACAGGGCUUUGGGUACAGAAAUGGGACUCAAG